AAUAUUAAAUUAUUUUACGAACUUAUUUGUUUAUAAUUUGGUAACAGAUAGAUAUUUGAAUAUUCGGUAUAUUUUGCUUCAGUUUAGGAAAUCUUUAAUGAUCCGUCUUUAGAUCCACUAAGCCCUAUAAUUAAGAAAUGAAUAUUGUCGUUAAAUAAUUUUGGUAACCUUAACGUCAUUAAAGGAU
rnacentral:sRNA from 1 species